CACAUGCAAGUCAGCGGUAACAGGGGGAGCUUGCUCCCCGCUGACGAGCGGCGGACGGGUGAGUAAUGCAUAGGAAACUGCCCAGUAGUGGGGGGUAGCCCGGGGAAACCCGGAUUAAUACCGCAUACGCCCUUUGGGGGAAAGCAGGGGAUCUUCGGACCUUGCGCUAUUGGAUGUGCCUAUGUCGGAUUAGCUAGUUGGUGGGGUAAGAGCCUACCAAGGCGACGAUCCGUAGCUGGUCUGAGAGGAUGAUCAGCCACAUCGGGACUGAGACACGGCCCGAACUCCUACGGGAGGCAGCAGUGGGGAAUAUUGGACAAUGGGGGCAACCCUGAUCCAGCCAUGCCGCGUGUGUGAAGAAGGCUUUCGGGUUGUAAAGCACUUUCGGUGAGGAGGAAAACCUUACGAUUAAUACUCGUGAGGCUUGACGUUACUCACAGAAGAAGCACCGGCUAACUCCGUGCCAGCAGCCGCGGUAAUACGGAGGGUGCAAGCGCUAAUCGGAAUUACUGGGCGUAAAGCGCGCGUAGGUGGUUUGAUAAGCGAGAUGUGAAAGCCCCGGGCUCAACCUGGGAACGGCAUUUCGAACUGUCAGGCUAGAGUAUGGUAGA
rnacentral:rRNA from 1 species